GCUCCCUACUUGUUGAGGAUGGGCAGCAGAGUAAAUAUAUAACAGGACAUUGAUGAACCAAAAGGAAAAGAAGGAUAUUGGGGCCGGAGGCUCAGAGAUUUCAUGAGAAGAACAACAAUUAUUUAGUGCAGAGGACCUUUUCAGAAAAUGGUGGGCUAUUUCUUCAUAAAGAGAAAUUCUGAUAACUCAAUUUACAAGGGACAACAUAUACUGUGAGAGCAGUCCAUGUCACAUCCAAGUGACUCACAAAAGAACAUGAUAUCUGUCAUGAGUUUGUUGGAAUGAAACAGAGAAACAUCCUUUAAAGAGCCCAGCAAAAUCCAACAUGAUUGCAAGAAGUUACUCUGGGACUAGGAUUCGGUAAAUUCUUUGAAGUGAAGGAGAGAAUGAGUUGACCUUCUAUCUUGGAAACUUCAGGGACCUGCUGUCAAUGGUUUGUGUGCCCUGUGAUCCCAUGAGCUGCUCAGCAGCCACAUCCCUACAGUCCUUGGCUCCAAAGAGGGGUUCUCUUGUGCUGUGCUCCAAGAAUGCUGGCUUUUUAUCCCUGGAAAAAACACAGCUUUGGUCUAUCCUCAUUUGUUCAGCCUAACUUCUAUGCCUGGGGAGGACACCUUCACUUACGACUUGGCAUAGUGUGAACUCAACAGAUGGACAGAAGUAGCCAAAAGCCAGUGCUGUAUGUACAUUUAGGGUGUUUGCCAAUGGCAGGAUUCUCAAACAGGAAUUUUUAAACAGCUGUCAAUCCUCAAAUGAUAACCUGAUCUUCAAAGGGAUACAACACUACUAAUUCAGCUUUGAGAUAUUUCUACUUCAAAGAACAGUAAGUGCCAAAGUGUGCAAGGAAAGCUUUCAUUUUGGCUUCAUUUGGGUUCCAUAUUUGGCUUCUUUUCUGUGGGGUAUAUGAGCUGCAACAUGGAAACUUGACAUGCAUAAGACUUGAGUCUUUGGACACUGCGUCCUGGACAUUUUCUCCUGUUUGAUCCUGUGAAAAUAUCCCUUACUAAAUGCAGCUGAAAACUGAAGCUGCUGGGACAUGUUUGGAAGCCAGGUCAAGUUGAAUGGUGUUAUUUCACCACAAAUAGAUGUAUUCAUGCAGCAGACAAAGGCAGUUUAAAUUUCAUUGUCCACCGAGGACAUCAGCCCUUCUGAACCGUCAUAUUUGACAGUAUCAAGAGAGGUAAAAUGUUAGGAUUACUCCAAAUUUCCUGAAGAUACUACAAAAAAUCUAGCUGUUCCUCCCAAACCCUUUUUGUCUUUGGAGUCAAAGGAUUGUGUACUGAACCUGUUUGGUUCUGCCAAGAAGAGCAGGAGUUUCUUAUUCUCUUUCAACAUCUGUGAUAAAUAUUUGAUCUGUGACAUUCUGGUUCUGGGGAAUAUCACUAACAGGGAUUCUAAAAAAAAUAUUUUGAUGGUAAGCAGAGUGUUGCUAAGCAUUUUUGGAAGCAGUAGAAAACGCUUUUAAAAGCAGCACAGUUCCCACAGAAGGUAAUAAACUAAUGUGAUCAGAGGAUGCUGUGACUUUUGUGUCCUGUGUUCUCAUCUUGUUCUUGAUUCCAGUGCUUAGUGACACUUACCCUGUCACCUAUUGUCUUUCUACUCUGAUAUAAUCAUGUAUGAAAUAUUGCAAUAGUUUUAGUUACCAUUUAAAGGAACUUGUUGAGAAUUAACUCUCAUUUAUAUAUGCUUUGAGGUUCUAGCUGUAAAAUGCUAUCAAAAUAGUGUACACCAUUUAAUAAGAGUGAAUUCAUAUCUCUAUUUUCAUGGAAUGUUUGUCAUAACAAUCUUUAUCCAUGAGUACUACUGAGAAGUAUAUAAGCCACCAUCUAUAAAGCAAUAUCAUGACUGGGUGAUAGUAAGCUUACAACACAGAAUAUUUCAAUAAAAAUUAAGAACAUUUGAUAACCAGGAAAUUAUUAAUGCUGAAUGUAUAUUUUAUUAUGCAUUUUUAGUUCUGAACAAUGAUUAUUUUUAGAAGAAUAAUAAAGCCCUUUUACAUUGCUUUAAAUUUUUUGAAAAUCUUUGUGAAACAUCAGGUCUCUAUGAAACAACUGAAAGUAAGAACGUAUUUACAGACAACAAUUGAAAUGCUAUUACUUUUGGGGUUUGGGAGGUGGUGGUGACAUUAUUUGUUUGAUUUCUAUUUGUUUGGAUUUUUUUCUGCAGUAGCUUCUUUUUAGCUCAUAAUGUUAACUCUACAGUGGCCAUCUGCAAAUACAGUCAGCCAUGGGAUCUAGCUAAUUGUACAACAACCAGUAUGAGAGAGCUUUUGCAUAUUUUGGGGUUCCUAAACACUUCCAAAUUUGCUUUCAUACAGUCUAGACAAAGUGGAGACAAGCAGUGCUGAACAAAAGUGAACUAGUCCACCAAUAUGCUCUGCUGCUGCUUUGCAUUCUGCUUUGCUCUGUGCUACCAGCUGGGGUCUGCUAUUCUAAAUUUACUACAAAUGCUUUGAGCUGGAGCUGUGGCUUGUUUUUUAGAAAAGAGUAUGGCUGAGAGGAAGGUGAUCAUGCGAUCUGGCAAGCAUAAGCUUUCUCACAGACAUGUCCUUAUCUCUGUUGCAUGGAUCUACAUUGAAGAAAAGGGCAAAACCAGAAAAAUGUGCAUCUGACCUUGUGCAUAGCCUCUCUUGGGAAAGCUUAAUAAGAUGGAAAUAUCCCUUAUUCCUACUAUCUAUAGAAAAUAGAGUCUGAUAAAAAAUGGGGCAACAAAACCAGUAGAUGUGGAUGCAUGUGAUAAAGAAUAUUUUAACACAGUUUUAAAAGAGAAAUACAAUAUUGCUAAAAAAUUUCAUUAGGAUAAAUAAUGCC